GAUGAACGCUAGCGGCAGGCUUAACACAUGCAAGUCGAGGGGUAUGGUUCUUCGGAGCCAGAGACCGGCGCACGGGUGCGUAACGCGUAUGCAAUCUACCUUUUUACAGGAGGGAUAGCCCAGAGAAAUUUGGAUUAAUACCUCAUAGUAUAACAUGACCGCAUGGUCGAGUUAUUAAAGUCACAACGGUAAAAGAUGAG
rnacentral:rRNA from 1 species